AAUGACCUACGCUCAAUUUUGUUGUUUUGUACAUUUCUAUCCAGUAAUUUCCCCGAUUUAAAUUACACAAAGUUGAAUAUUUAUUUUUGUCAAGCGGUUAGUACACUUUAUGACUUCCAAGUAAACUAACAUGACAAUUAGUAAAUGUAAAAUUACUUGUUAAAACCUAUAGUAUAGCAAUAAUUUUACAAAAUCAAUAAAAUAUGGCGCUCACAGUAGCUACUUUAAACACAUUAAGAGUAGCAAAUCAUGAUUUCUCUAUGGCUCUAUACUCCAAAUUGAACAAAGACAAUGAAAAUCUAUUCUACUCGCCCAUAAGCAUACACAUUGUUUUGUUGAUGGCAGGAAUAGGAGCUGCUUCUAACACUUAUAAUGAAAUUUUCGAUACUAUUCGUAUGCCAAAGAACGAUGACACUUUAGAACCUUAUGAAAAGUUGUUAAGCACUCUUAAUGUAA